CCUCCUGUUCAGACUCUGGAGCUUUUCGAUUGCGGCAUGUCCUCUGGAUCACAUGGCUCUUAAAAAGCUCCUUCCUCCAUCCUCCUUGUCCCUUUGUAGUGGCAGCUCAGGCACUAGCGGAACACCCUCUUAAGGUAGCUGUACAGUUAGGUCCUGGCACCACUGCAGCACUUGGCUCCUUUGACACAAGCAGAAACCACUUUACUAUGGUACUGUUUGAGCCAAUCAUGAUGCAUUAUCAUGCUGUGUUUCACCCCUUGAUUAGUAUAAAGGACAGGCAUGGACCAUUGCAUGCAGAAACAAUCAAGGUGCCCUUCCAAGGUGUUUGAAGCUUGGGGCUUAGUCCAUGCUUUUUGGUGUCAUCCUUUAUGUACACCAAAUCUCCAACACUGUAGGAUCCCAUCGUUUAUCUUCCUCUGUUCCUCUUGUGCAGUGCGGAGAUGUUCUCCUUCUGUUUCUUGUGCUUUGAGUUCUUCUUCCAGGUUGUACAGGAAAUCUGCCACUUCCAUUCAGUCGGACUUGAGUUCUGCAGUCCCAGACUGGAUGUCCUGUGGUUGAUGAACCUCCCUGCUGAGCAUGAGCCUUUUGGGUAUGACACCUGUGACUGUGUGACGUGAACUGCAGUAUGCUGAGGUGAGUCAUGGCAGGUGCUAAUCCCAGUUUUUCAAAUUCUUAUUCACAUUGUACCAGAUCAUCAUGAGUAAGGUUCAGUUGAAGCUCUCAAGCUGUGUGUUAGAGGCAGAAUGGUAGGGGGUGGUCCUUGUCUUGGUGAUCUGCAGGAGCUUGUAUACACCUUGGAACAAGAAACAUUGAAAAUAUUUACCCUGGUCUGUGUGCAACUCAAGGGGAGUCCAUUGAUCAGGAACAGGAAAGGCUUUGACCCAUUUGGUGCAUUGGUCAAUUAUGGCAAAAAUGUAUACCUGUUUCCAGAGAUGGUGGAUAUUGGAAAUGGCCAGGUGGUAAAGGUGGCAAAGGUGUUUUAGAAUUUUCACUUCUUCAAGAUGACCAGAAUGAGGAGGGUUUUGGCAAGCCUGUAGGACCUCUCCCUGCAUCAGCAUUCUGGAGAUUGGCAAGCUCUUCAGAGUUGACUUACUGCAGCCAGUUAAAGGUGGGGUAGGUGUUUUUUGUGAGAAGCACUUUCUAUCAUAUUACUUGAAACUCUAGUGACAAACCAAUAGCGAUGAAUACAUUGAAUGAUCUGACACUGAAACGAAAACAAUCCCUCAUCUGUGGCCACGGCAGGAGUGUAAAAAACACGACCAAUCAGAAAGUUCGGUCCGAAGAAAGUGAUUGGAUGAACCAGCUUUGUCGGGCGCGUGACGAGUCUCCUGCACGGUGUCGGCAAACAACCGGAGCUACCAUUAGCACACGAGUUGAAGAAAAGAGUUGCAGAACAGCAGAGAAAGUGCCUACAACAGCUUCUGGUCGCAACAGACAGAGCAGUAGAGAUGGCUACGGACACAAAGAGGUUGGAGACUAUGAGGAAGAGUGAACAGAGUAAACAUCGGUGUGGCUCUUCACCGCUGGCGACAACUCCGGGAGGAGAAGAUGGUGAAAGGUACAACAAGUUGUACAUGAAGAAGUCCAGGACCGGGAGGUUGUCUGCCACGGACCAGAGCAACAAGACCAGACGAUCCCCGUCAACAGCUUGAGAAGCAAGUCAGCCGAGGACCAGGACCACUGCCUAAAGAGUCGACGACAGUACAGCCUGACCCGUCAGCCGACAGGCCGGCUUUGACUCUAGAGCUAGGAAACCCUGUGCAGACAGUUUCUUCAUUGUUGUACAUAUGUUGUUUAUGCUAAUAUUAUAAUAUAUAUUUGGAAUAUUGUAUGAUGUUCCCAAAUAAUA